UGCAGGGUCAAUUCUGGCAUGACCUGGACCUCCAGUCUCCUGAGCGGCAGCAUGGUCUGCUCCAUCUUCGAGCGCUGCACCUCCUCCGGCCUACAUUAGUACGACGGAGCCGGCGCGCGGAUCCUGGAGGAAACUGAAGCUGGCAAAAGCAAUAGCAAGCUGACCAUGCGCAUCAUCUGGCAGCACCGGGGGGCGGCGCUGGAGUGCCGGGUGCAGGGCUACCGGAAUAGGUGCCUCCCCAAAUUGUCCCAGUCCCCAGCCACAGGCCGACCCCCCCGCCUGAAGGUCCUGGUGGACAUGGACGUCCCAGGCCCGAUCAGGGAGGGUGACUCGUUCACGUUGAGAUGCGUGGGGGACAGCGGGUAGCUGGACCAGGUCUACUUCUGGAUUCACAACUACGAGGACCUGCACGGCUUCCCCUCUCAGCAGAUUGAAGGGGCAACCUUGUCUCAUGGGGGCAAUUACACCUGCAUGAAGUGGGUCUCCGACAUAGGGUAUGCCUAUCCCCCAUAUCCCCCACAACCUAUGUGGCCAUCCUUGCCCCCCCUGUGGUGCAUGUGGUGGCCACCCCAGGCCCUCAUCGCAGCACGGGGGAACCCCUGUCCCUGACGUGCCGGCUGGACACCAGCGCCUAUAGCAGAUUGGACUUCUCCUGGUACAAGGAUGGCGAGCAGCUGGGGUGGGCACACGCGGAACUUGCUUUCCCGGGCGUACAGGUGGCUGAUGGGGGAGAGUAUCAGUGUGAGGUGCACAACACCCUAGGGAAAUCCACCUCCCUGCCACUCACCAUCACUGUUGUGUACGGCAGUGACUGGUACCAGCUGAGCCCUGGCCCCAUGGCAGGCUUCGGAGCAGGGGUCCUGCUGCUCUUCCUCCUGAGCAACCUCGGGGUUUAUUGUCUGGCCAGGAGACUCCGCCAACGGAAAGAACUGGGGGGGAGUCAGCAGGCAGGAAAUCCCAUGUGCCGGGGAGAUUCCCUGCCCCUCGGACGAUGCCGGCGACUAUUAUAACAGCCCCAAGGACUAUU